rnacentral:rRNA from 1 species
UACGUAGGGUGCGAGCGUUGUCCGGAAUUAUUGGGCGUAAAGAGCUCGUAGGCGGUCUGUCGCGUCUGCUGUGAAAUCCCGAGGCUCAACCUCGGGCUUGCAGUGGGUACGGGCAGGCUAGAGUGCGGUAGGGGAGAAUGGAACUCCUGGUGUAGCGGUGGAAUGCGCAGAUAUCAGGAAGAACACCGAUGGCGAAGGCAGUUCUCUGGGCCGUAACUGACGCUGAGGAGCGAAAGCGUGGGAGCGAACAGG